CUUCGCUAAAAGAAAAGAAAAAGAAAUAAAAGAAAAAGAAAUUGUAUUAAAAAAAAGAAUUCAAGAAAAAGGUCUCUGCGUGCGCAGUGUCGCCGUGUUUUCUUUCAUGUCGCCAACUUUUCCAGACCCAAUACUCUGAUGUCGAUAAACUUCGUCUUUCUCAUCAUUUGCCUUUGAUGGCUCGUCAUGCAACAUAGACUUUCACCUGCCAUAUGGCCUACAAUGAGCAACAACAAAACAUCAGGUGUACUUUUUUGUGUUCGGUGCCUUAAAAGAUGCCUAUGACCUUUGCUAUAACGAAUGCCUGCAACUAACUAGACACUUCCUAUUCGAUUGUCAUCUUUUAGUCGCUAUCAUUUGUUAUGUGGUACGGUAGACGCGGCCUUAAACAGACGACUAUAUUGAUUUUUAUUUUCUUUUUCAACAUGACAAAAAUAGCAGUAGACAUACACACAUGUGUACGAAAUCUCCAGCGUGGGUGUGUGUAUAACCGAGGAGGUGGUUCUUGCCGCUCCUGGUCAGAAGCAUAGGCAGUUCUCCGCAAUUUAAAUAUUAGUCUACGUUCUUCUAAGCUGUGCACGGAUAAGGUGAACGUUCCCAUCGCAACCAGAUGCCAGCUGGACGUGCCUCAUAUUUACGAUACAUUUUUUUUCUUUCUUUCUAGUUCCUAUUUUCUUCUUGAAUUGCCGCUUUUUCAUAGAUUUCCUCGUGAAAGUGUUUUCAUGUUAGUGCUCUUUCAUCUCCGGUCGUUAAUUUUUUUUUCACCCUCGAAAGAGUGAAGUUCACCGGUUGCGUCUACUAAAUUUUUUCCUUUUUCGAAAUCUUUAAAAAUUUUUUCAAAAAAAGUGCUUAUCAAUGGCGCAAAAGUGCAAUAAAAAUUCUAUUCCACUUGAAACAACACCUCAAGCGCCUGGAUCGUUCUAGUUGCUAUUUGAUUGACUGGCAAAUCGAUCGCAUCACGAACGUUGCCCGAAGACGACGGGCUUACAAAAGUCGGGCGCUAGAAUUACAGACGCCAACGUUAAUGGAACAGGGGCGAACGGGAUGACCUUUUCCUCUGGCAACGACGCUGGCGACGCCAUAAUAAACACUCGGGCACGGGAAAUACAAAAACUGUUCACUGGACACAAAAACAAAAACAUUUAUUCCCUCCAUCAAAAUAAAUCGACUACUCACUCCUCCUGACUUGCGCCCUUUUUCCUCCAUUCAAUUGGACUUUGCACGCUUCCUUUUCGCCCUGGCCAUUUCGUCCCCAUUGCAUAUACGUAAAUCAACAGUCAUAUCGAUCCAGGGGACCUACCGUCACGAAAAAAGCUCCAAGACACCCAUCGAAUGUAAAGAUCUCACGUUCCCAAUCCGAUAUGGUCGGCGUAGGGAAACAGGCGUUUUAUCAGAAUUUCAUCGGCUUCAGUAUCAGUCACACGCAAUUGUCAGAACCGAUUCCCAGGCACCGCUGACCUUUUCAUCUUUCACGUGCAUUAACUGAAAUCGAAACCGAUCAUGUGAUGGUUAGCAGUUUCACGAGCUAAGGAAUACGACGUGUACUCAACCACCCCUUCAUAAUGCAAGACGGGAUCGACCCGUAAAGUACCCCAAAAAUCGAUGCCUUUUUUAGUAACUUGUUUUACUUAUUUCCAAAGGGUCGUUGACUUUGUACUAAUCAAUUUCGUGUUACUGCGUGUGACAAUCAUGUAAAACUUAUUUCCUGCUCAGCAUGACAGCCAGUUAAAAUACAUAAUUGAAUUAGAAUUGGCGGAGGAAAAGAGAAGGGACACAAGCGCCGGAGGUGGCCGGGCACCAGCAACAAUGCACGGUUGUUUUUACCGCGUUAAAUAAAAAUCAAUUACACUAUAUAGUAGACUGUUUAGAUCCGGCCCAUGUGAACGACAAUGUCACGGUGGACGAGCUCCGACAUCACGUGUCUCUAUGACUGGCUUUUCGAUAUUUUACGCUGCUGUAGAUAUGCGCAUACAGAAUUGGUAAGAGUAAUUGAAAAGCCAUACAGUUUCGACGGCC